ACUGGGCGUGCUGGCACACGCCUGUAAUCCCAGCUACUCGGGAGGCUGAGGCAGGGGAAUCGCUUGAGUCCAGGAGGCGGAGGUUGCAGUGAACCAAGAUCAUGCCACUGCCCUCCAGCCUGGACAACAGAGUGAGACUUUGUCUCAA
rnacentral:SRP_RNA from 1 species